rnacentral:rRNA from 1 species
GAUGAACGCUGGCGGCGUGCCUAAUACAUGCCAGUCGAGCGAACAGACGAGGAGCUUGCUCCUCUGACGUUAGCGGCGGACGGGUGAGUAACACGUGGAUAACCUACCUAUAAGACUGGGAUAACUUCGGGAAACCGGAGCUAAUACCGGAUAAUAUAUUGAACCGCAUGGUUCAAUAGUGAAAGACGGUUUUGCUGUCACUUAUAGAUGGAUCCGCGCCGCAUUAGCUAGUUGGUAAGGUAACGGCUUACCAAGGCGACGAUGCGUAGCCGACCUGAGAGGGUGAUCGGCCACACUGGAACUGAGACACGGUCCAGCCUCCAACGGGAGGCAGCAGUAGGGAAUCUUCCGCAAUGGGCGAAAGCCUGACGGAGCAACGCCGCGUGAGUGAUGAAGGUCUUCGGAUCGUAAAACUCUGUUAUUAGGGAAGAACAAAUGUGUAAGUAACUAUGCACGUCUUGACGGUACCUAAUCAGAAAGCCACGGCUAACUACGUG